AUUGCUUUCUUCUGCUUCCUCCUACACAGACACUGAUACAAUGCUCUCAUAUUUAACAUGCUAGCCUGCGGAGACAGUAGAACUGCGAUGCUUCACGGAUAGGCCCUCAACCACAGUGAAAGGCUGCCAGACACAGAGAAGUAAGGUUAGCAAAGCAUGGAAACGAAUUUCAGGCCAAAUGACGAUACAUUCAUGAUCGCUGGACAAUUUUAUUAUCUGGAUCCUGGGGCAGUGCAUGCAGUGUUUGUCCUGGAGCAACCUCCUUAAGGGGCCACCUCUGCUUGAGCAACACGCUGGAAGCUUCAUAGAUAGGAAUAUGAAGGUUUCUAAACCCUGGGACACAGGUGUGAGAAGCACCAAUAGACGUGACCACAGCCAAGGAACACACCCCCUUGUCUGGUCCUGUAGCUUAGCUUAGACAAGAAACAAAUACAGAGGAGCAAAUCUGAAUUGUGUACUUAAUAAAUGAUUGUGGAUAAUGAUGGUUGUGGCAGUUAUGGGAAGAAUAGGCCAUUGGAUGGGCUACCCCUCUAUCAAUAGAUCAAGUAUUGUGUCCCGUGGUGACAGGCCCAAUUACCAACUGGCAGGCGUAUGAACAACAUUGAAGGAAUUUCCACAGAAGAAAGGUUCUAAACCCACGGAUACCUUGAUGUCCUCAGUUUCCCCUUUGGGAAGUGAACACCUGCUCUUUGAUAUGGCCUUGCCUUGAAAGAAAUAUAAAGGAUUCUGGAAAACAGCUUGGGGAAGUGCAGUGGUUCUCAGUAUAUGGUCCCUGAGCCAACAGUGUCAUCAUCACCUGGGAACUUGUUAGAAACACAAAUCUCCAUGCCGCCCCAGACCUACUGAAUCUGAAACUCUAGGGACAAAGCUCAACAAUCUGUGUUUUGUCAAGUGUCUGAUGAAGACUAAACUUUUAAAACCACUAGUGUGGUGGGUAGGGCACCAACUUACUGGUUAGAUACAUCUGCCCUGGAAGCCCAACUCCAGUAUUUACUUGGCGAGUUGCCUGGCAGUAAGAAGAAACAGAAUACAGUCAUCCCUUGGUAUCACCAGAGGAUUGGCUUCGGGACACCCAUGGAUCCCAAAAUCCACAGAUGCUCAAGUGCCUGUUAUAAAAUGGUGUAGUAUUUACACAUAAGCUACACACACCCUCUCGUAUACUUUAACUCAUCUCUAAA
rnacentral:lncRNA from 1 species